rnacentral:lncRNA from 1 species
ACUUAACUGGGUCAUGAGACUGUUCCAUAUGAUAAUGAAGGUGAAUACAUGACAUUAUGAAUUUGUGAAGAUGCACGGAACUUCACUGCACAGGCAGCAAGGCAUCCUUCACAAAUAAAAACAAAACCAAGCCAUUUCGAUCUGGUUGAUCUCAGGAAUGAAAGCCAACGGCCACCUGGAAUCCAAGUGUAUUAUAAAUACAGGAGACAGCCUCACUGAAGGUUAGGGAGAAGAGGUACUAUACCAGUAUCUUUGGAAAUGUGUGUGUCUAUAAAACUAAUGAUUCUGCAGGCAUGAACUCUGUACUCUGGGUAACAAAUGUUUCCCAUGAGAGUAGAUGCUAAUAAUUCUGAUAUUGCUAUACAUGCAUUUAUAAAUGCAUAAAUUUAUACAUUUAUAAAUGCACGUGUGUGGAUGAUUCUAUGUGCCUCUGGGUGUGUGCUCAUGUGUGUACUGGAAGGUAACUUCAGGUGUGGUGUACUCCUCACGAAUGCUGUCCACCUCCUUUCAGGGUCUUGCUUGCCCUGGAGUUCACCAUUGGCUGGGGUGGCUGGCCCCUGGGCUGUGUCUGCCUCCCCAAGGCCAGGAUUAAAGUGUGCUGCAUAAUGCUCAGCACACUUACGGGUUUAUACGGGUUCUGAGGACCAAACUUAUGCUUUCAAAAUAAGCACUUCACUGAGUGAACUCUUU